GCCGGGCUUAGAGGAGUCAGAGGAAAGAGAAGACUGAGGAGGUACCGCUUCUGGGGAGUUGAGAAUAUGUCUUUUCCCCCCACCAGUCCCUUAUUUAUUUUUUUUUUAAUAAAACCUCUUCCUUUAUUUUAAUAUCUAAUCCUGGAAGUUUGCUCGUGCUUUUCAAGUUUUAAUCGAAGAACAUCUUUGUGAUCAGAUUAACCAAAUAUUGACCCCCAAAAGGAAGCUAAGACUCAGAGAAGAUCGGUAGAGACCUUUCAAGCCUCUAAUAUGCUGCUGCCUCUUAGCUGUUGGAAUCAGAGCAUACUUGUUGCAAGUGGCUACGGUCAGUCUAAUCACCAGUAUCUUCUUCAUGGAUGUACUGCUAUAUACAACUUAAUUCUUAUUUUAGAUUUACAAAGGGAAGGGUAUCUGGGAUGCAUCUAUAGGUCCCGAGGUGGUCAGGAAGCACAUAGCAGCUACAAUAGUUAA
rnacentral:lncRNA from 1 species